UACGUAGGUGGCGAGCGUUGUCCGGAUUUACUGGGCGUAAAGGGAGCGUAGGCGGACUUUUAAGUGAGAUGUGAAAUACCCGGGCUCAACUUGGGUGCUGCAUUUCAAACUGGAAGUCUAGAGUGCAGGAGAGGAGAAUGGAAUUCCUAGUGUAGCGGUGAAAUGCGUAGAUAUUAGGAGGAACAUCAGUGGCGAAGGCGGCUUACUGGACUGUAACUGACACUGAGGCUCGAAAGCGUGGGGAGCAAACAGGAUUAGAUAU
rnacentral:rRNA from 1 species